CCAGACUCCUACGGGAGGCAGCAGUGGGGAAUAUUGGGCAAUGGGCGCAAGCCUGACCCAGCAACGCCGCGUGAAGGAAGAAGGCUUUCGGGUUGUAAACUUCUUUUGUCAGGGAAGAGUAGAAGACGGUACCUGACGAAUAAGCCACGGCUAACUACGUGCCAGCAGCCGCGGUAAUACGUAGGUGGCAAGCGUUAUCCGGAUUUACUGGGUGUAAAGGGCGUGUAGGCGGGAGAGCAAGUCAGACGUGAAAUUCCAGGGCUCAACCCUGGAACUGCGUUUGAAACUGUUCUUCUUGAGUGAUGGAGAGGCAGGCGGAAUUCCGUGUGUAGCGGUGAAAUGCGUAGAUAUCAGGAGGAACACCGGCGGCGAAGGCGGCCUGCUGGACGGAUACUGACGCUGAGGCCCGAAAGCGUGGGGAGCGAACAGGAUUAGAUACCCCAGUACUG
rnacentral:rRNA from 1 species